rnacentral:rRNA from 1 species
GACGAACGCUGGCGGCGUGCCUAACACAUGCAAGUCGAACGGAAAGGCCCUGCUUUCUUGUGGUUCUCGCGUCGCGAACGGGUGUGUAACACGUGAGUCACCUUCCCUUUACUUUGUGAUAUCUUCAGGAAACUGGUGCUACUACCUGCUUGGAGCUCCUGCUGCAUGGUGGGGUUUGGAAAGCUUGAGCUGUUGGGGAUGUACUCGCGGCUUAUUAGCUUGUUGGUGGGGUAGUGGCUUACCAAGGCUUCGACGGGUAGCCGGACUGAGUGGGUGACCGGCCACAUUGGGACUGAGAUAAGGCCCAGACGCGUAAGGGAGGCAGAAGUGGGGAAUAUUGCACAAUGGGCGGAAGCCUGAGGCAGAGACGCCGCGUGCGGGAUGAAGGCCUUGGGGUUGUAAACGGCAUUCGGCUGUGACGAAGCGUGAGUGACGGUAAUGGGUGAAGAAGCACCGGCUAACUACGUG